GCCCUAGGAGCCUUCACAACUGCCUUGAUCCUUCUGACCCAAACAACUGGUCAUUUCAUGCCCCAUGGGAUGCUGGCUGAGGACAUUAAACACAGAUGAGGGGACCAGAUGGAGUUGUGAAAUCUCAUAGGAUGUUGGUGGCAGUUCUUGCUUCCUGGUCCUUCUUCACAACAAUGGUACUCAGAAAAUGCCAGCAGAUGGGGCUCUGGAGAUGGCAAAGAAGAGAAUCCUUGGAGAGAAGAUGUUAUCUGCUGGACACCUUGGGCUCCUCGUCUUGCCAGCCACAGCUCCUGCCAUUGAUAGGGUGGCUCUGCCCAUGCCAGCAUUGAGGCUGAGAAUGUCAUGACUCUGAGAACAUGAGAAAGAUGUGUAUUCAGGCUGUGCCAGAUUGUGGGGAUGAAGAUGGGAAAUCCCAAGACCAGCUGUAAAAAAGAUCUGCAGCUCAAGCGAACCUUCCCAUACCAUGGCUGCCCAGCAAGCAUGCUGUUACACUUCGCAUCCUGGCUCGCCCAACUGUGUUUACAUCUCUUCCUGGUGCUGGAGCCAGAGCCUGGGUUCCUUUUGAAAAAAAUUCUGAAAAUACCUUGGGUUUGUGUUCCUCUGGGCUCUGCAAUAACAAACCUGUUCUGUG